AAACAGAUACCUAAAUAGAAACUCCGAAGAAAAAAACAGAAUUGUUUCAGACUCUGAAUAUCAUCACCAUGACUAUGAUUUCCAUACAACAUUUUCCCUCUCCAAUCUAUCCCAUCCUUUCACACCCCAAAUAUACGCAACAACUAAAACACACAGCUAAACUGCUUUGGCUCACCAGCAAUCAGCCUACUAGCCAUCUUUACAAGUAUCAAAACACUUCUCUGAAGACAAAGGCUGUAACAAAUUCACUUGUUCUUGGUGUCUCUUCCGUGGCCAAGCCCGCCGACAUAUCAAUCUUACUCCAGACGAGUGCUGUACUCCUGUUCGUGUACUGGAUUGCCAAUUUUAUCGUCCCAGAUAUCAUCUUGAAAGAUCUCCAAUCCAAUCAGGCAAGCAAAGACCAGAAACCUAACGAUGACGAUACCUGAGAAGUUGAGAAUGAAAGCAAAUCGGCAAGAAGUGAAAGCGAAAAAAAGGCAAGAAAUGACAUGGGCUUCCUGGCAACUUGAGCUAGUGAAGAUCAAAGAACUUUUUCAUUUCUUCUUUCCAUUCAAAAAACAAAAAAAUCAGAAAUAUCCAAUAUCAAACAAAUGUCAACCCUGAGCUGUUGUUCUAAAACAAUUUACAUUUACAAGUGAAAUUGAGCACAUUUAAACGACUGUCCAAUCAUUUUCAACAGAA